AGCAUCUUCACCAGGAGUAAAUUCCAUCUCAAGAAACCACUUGCUUUGCUCAUCCAUAGGCAGCAACUCCUCAUCCAUUAAAGUUUUAUCAUGAGAUUGCAGCAAUUCAGGCACAUAUUCAGCCUCCACUUCUAAUUCUAGUUCUCUUGCUAUUGUCACCACAUCUGCGGUUACUUCUUCCACUGAAGUCUGGAACUCCCCAAAGUCAUCCAUGAGGGUUGGAAUCAGCUUCUCUCAAACUGUUGUUAAUGUUGACAUUUUCCCAUGAAUCACGAAUGUUCUUAAUGGCAUCUAGAAUGUGAAUCCGAAUCCUUUCCAUGAGGGUUUCAAUGUCCUUUGCCCAGAUCCAUCAGAGGAAGCACUAUGUAUGGAAGCUAUAGCCUUGCAAAAUGUAGUUCCUUAAUAAAAAGACUUGAAAGUUGAAAUUACUCCUUGAUCCAUGGGCUGUAGAAUGAAUAUUGUGUUAGCAAGUACGAAAACAACAUUAAUCUCAUUGUACCUCUCCAUCAGAGCUCUUGGGUCAACAGAUGCAUUGUCAAUAAGCAGUAAUAUUUUGAAAAGAAUCUUUUUUUCUGAGCAGUAGAUCUCAACAGUGGGCUUAAAAUAUUCAUUAAACCAUGUUGUAAACAGAUGUGCUGCCAUCCAGGCUUUGUUGCGCCAUUUAUAGAGCACAGGUAGAGCAAAUAUAGCAUAAUUUUUAAGGGUCCUGGAUUUUCAGAAUGGUCAAUGAGCAUCGGCUCCAACUUAAAGUCACCAGCUGCAUUAGCCCUAACAAGAGAGUCGGUCUGUCCUUUGAAGCUUUGAAGCCAGGCACUGACUUCUCUCUGGCUGUGAACGUCCCAGAUGGCGUCCUCUUCCAGUAGAAGGCUGUUUCGUCUAUGUUGAAAGUCCGUCGUUGAGUGUAGCUGCCUUCACUGAUGAUCGAGCCACAUCUUCUGGAUGAUGUGCUGCCCCUUCUAGUAGAAGCAGCGCUUGCUGCUUCCCCCGCCCUUCCAGGUUAUGGCAAGGGCUUCUGUCCUUAAACCUCAUGAGCCCACCUCUGCUGGAUCACACUUUCUCGGGCAGCUUCCUCCCCUCUCUCGGCCUUCCCAGAACUGAAGAGAGUGAGGGCCUGGCUCUGGAUCAGCUUCGGCCUGGGGAAGUGUUGUGGCUGGUUUGCUCUUCUGUCCAGGCCACUGAAACUUCCUCCAUAUCAGCAACGAGGCUGCUCUGCUUUCUCAUCAUUUGUGUGUUCACUGGAACAGCACUUUUCAUUUCCUUCAAGAACUUUCCCUUUGCAUUCACAACUUGGUGAAUGGUUUGGCACAAGAAGCCUAGCUUUUGGCCUCUCUUGGUAUUCGACAUGCCUUCCUCACUAAGCUUAAUCACUUCUAGCUUUUAAUUUAAAGUGAGAGACAUGCGACUCUUCUUUUCAUUUGAAC
rnacentral:lncRNA from 1 species